rnacentral:rRNA from 1 species
GACGAACGCUGGCGGCGUGCCUAAUACAUGCAGGUCGAACGAGAGCGACCGGUGCUUGCACUGGUCAAUCUAGUGGCGAACGGGUGAGUAACACGUGGGUAACCUGCCCAUCAGAGGGGGAUAACAUCCGGAAACGGAUGCUAAAACCGCAUAGGUCUUCGAGCCGCAUGGCUUGAAGAGGAAAAGAGGCGCAAGCUUCUGCUGAUGGAUGGACCCGCGGUGCAUUAGCUAGUUGGUGAGGUAACGGCUCACCAAGGCCGUGAUGCAUAGCCGACCUGAGAGGGUGAUCGGCCACAUUGGGACUGAGACACGGCCCAAACUCCUACGGGAGGCAGCAGUAGGGAAUCUUCCGCAAUGGACGCAAGUCUGACGGAGCAACGCCGCGUGAGUGAAGAAGGUUUUCGGAUCGUAAAACUCUGUUGUUAGAGAAGAACAAGUGCUAGAGUAACUGUUAGCGCCUUGACGGUAUCUAACCAGAAAGCCACGGCUAACUACGUG